rnacentral:rRNA from 1 species
GACGAACGCUGGCGGCGUGCUUAACACAUGCAAGUCGAACGAUGAAGAAGAGAAACGCGAACUUCGGUUCAACUUUCACUUCGGAUUAGUGGCAGACGGGUGAGUAACGCGUGAGCAACCUACCUCUUACAAAGGGAUAGCCUCGGGAAACCGUGAUUAAUACCAUAUGGCACAUUCAUAAGGCAUCUUAAGAAUGUUAAAGCUACGGCGGUAAGAGAUGGGCUCGCGUCCCAUUAGCUAGUUGGUGAGGUAACGGCCCACCAAGGCGACGAUGGGUAACCGGCCUGAGAGGGUGAACGGUCACAUUGGAACUGAGACACGGUCCAAACUCCUACGGGAGGCAGCAGUGGGGAAUAUUGCACAAUGGAGGGAACUCUGAUGCAGCGACGCCGCGUGAGCGAUGAAGGAAUUCGUUUCGUAAAGCUCUGUUCUAUGGGAAGAAAAGGACUGUACCAUAGGAGAAAGCCCCGGCUAAAUACGUG